UUUUUUUUUAUGUAGGAAACCAAGUCCCCCCUACUUUCUUCGUCCUGCGCUGCCCCUUUUCAUUUCAGCCUAAUCCAAACCCUAACUAUUCGGCACUCUGUCUCUCUCCCCCAAACCCUAACACGUCGGUGGCACUAGUCGACGCGAGCGACGAUCGGCGGCAGUGGCGAUCGAAGAUUGAGCAAGGAAUUUUGGACUUCUCUGAAGGCCUUAGAGUUAUUGGAGUAAAGCCAAACAAAAAACUAGCACGUUUUGCUGAUAAUUCUUGCCGGUGGCUUAUUGCAGAUACAGGAUUUAAUGGGCCCACGGUGGAAAGGAAAGGGAUCAGAAGGUAAAGCACUUGCCGAUCCCAUGUCCAAGAUAGUUUCUCAACUUAAGUCUUCUCUUAUCCAAUCGGAUUCUCAUGGGCUACUCUCAGGAUGCAGUGUACUUCUUGAAGUGGAAACAGAACAAACUGCACUUCUCAAUCGUUCAUGUUUUGGUCGACCCAUUAUCACAGCCCAGAAGGAUAAGCAGUGGUUUCAGCUGGGUAUGGAGGAAGCCUUUUACCUGUGCUACAAUCUAAAAUGUCUGAAGAUUGUCAGUUACGAUGAGUGUACCAAAAAUGAUGAUGAGCUAUGGAAUUACAUGAAAUCCAAGAGAGAAACGUUCCCUGAUUUAUUCAAGGCUUAUUCUCAUCUUCGUACAAGAAAUUGGGUAGUGAGAUCGGGACCUCAGUAUGGUGUGGACUUCAUUGCCUACCGUCACCAUCCAGCUCUAGUGCAUUCUGAAUAUGCUGUGCUUGUUUUAUCAGGAGGAGAUGGCAAUGCAAAUGGUCGAUUGAGGGUUUGGUCUGAUUUUCAGUGCACACUUCGACUUUGUGGCAGUGUUGCAAAGACAUUGUUAGUUCUUUGCAUUGAUAAAAAUGGUGUUGGUGCUGGUUCUCCAACGUGUUUGGAGAGUUAUAGUGUUGAAGAAAGCACGAUCACUAGGUGGAGUCCAGAGCAAAGCCGCGAGGAUAAAACAGUAGCAGAAAAUGGAACCAAGCAAGAGAUUUUUUUUGAACAUGAACCAAGAUCAGCAUAAUCCAGUUAUGACAGCGUUCAAGUUGGUGAUAAUAGAUGCUCCAUAUCGGGGCUUUGGAUCAGCAUAAUCCAGUUAUGACGGCGUACAAGUUGGUGAUAGUAGAUCUCCAUAUUGGGGCUUUGGUAAUAGACUUGAACAAACUCUGCUUGCGAAACUUGACACGCAAACUUGGCCGAUGAGCAAGGAGGAGUCGGAUGGAAAAUGAAGAUGUUCACUUGACAGUGAGGAAAUCUACAGUAGGUCCCAAUUUGAAUGUGAGAAAUAUGGGAUUUGUUGUGCUACACCAGAUGUAAAUUAUAGUAUUUUUGGUGCAUGUAUGGUGGUGAAAAUCCAUUGGACAAGGAGAUUGUAAACUUUUACAAAAUAUCAAAUUGUUUCUGAAUAUUCAUUUGAUGUAAAAGUUUGUUAUCU